CACACACACACCCCCCCCCUCAAAAACUAAAUCUGUAAUGGGCAUUUUAGGGAAUUAAGAGACAGUAAAACAAACCUGUGAGUUUGCCAAACAAGGAUUUCAGUGUAGAUUUUGUCUUUAUUCCAUGAACAAGUCACAGUUAAAGAUUUAAUGGAAGAACCUGCCAUUGUUGUUCUUCAUCUGGUUGUUGCUGUUUACAUUCCUUUGGUGAGCCUGUAUCUUCAUAAGCUUUUUAGUAGGUGUGUGUCCAACACUUCUGUUUCAUGAUCAAGACAGGAUCAGUGGCCAUGGAGACUGACAGCUGAUUUAUCGGUUUUCUUCCGUCCUUUUUCCGUGACUGUAUCUCCUGCCUCGUCCCAAUAUAUAAGCAAAACCUGGAAAACCUACAAAAACGUGUUUUGUGGUUAUCUAGGGAUAAUGCAGAAACCAUUGCUGUUAUUUUUGGUAAAGAAAGUCAAUUUCGUAUAGUUUAUUUCAACAUAAAUUGUGAAUUUUGUGUUUU